UGCUAACCUUCCUGAUAAUCACCAUGUGUCAGGUACCAUGUAAAAUGCUUGUGUACUUCUUCAAUCCUGUUUUCUUCAGAGAAAGCACAGGAAAAAGCAGAAUUUUUGCCUGUUGAAGAGAACUGACCAUUUAUGUGAUGUGAGACCUAAGUAGGAAUGGCAGCUAUGUCUUCUCUGGAAAUUAACCUACAGCAGGAGAUAUAGAACCCCCAAUACUGUGUAAUAAUGCCUAAUAAUUCCCCUAGCUCAAGCUGCUGAGAAAUCAGGCAGAAGCCCAGGGAAGCUCACCAGAGAGCUAAGAUGCACUGUGCAUUAACAGACGUUUAUUUCCUUUGGCAAAGGAUAUACAGGAAACUCAGAUCCAUCCACAUGUGUUCAGGGCAAUACUGGCAUCUCGAGGACCUCUGCUAUCGACCCAUCAAAACCAAGAUGGUUCAGGAAAUGUGGAUAAGGAGACCAAUGAUAACAUUCACUGCACCACAGGAGAAGGCUUUUGGUGCAGUUUAUAAAUCAUAUUGUGCUGUUUGGGGAGCCCUAAAGAACAAAUUGAGUGGAAAAUUACAUAAACCCCUCAGCAGAUGUUCUUUCCCACAUUGUUUGGGAAUUUAUCCCUGUUGCACAGUUCUUCUAAGGCCCAUGCCAAGUUGAAUGGGGACA
rnacentral:lncRNA from 1 species